rnacentral:rRNA from 1 species
AUUGAACGCUGGCGGAAUGCUUUACACAUGCAAGUCGAACGGUAGAGGGGCAACCCUUGAGAGUGGCGAACGGGUGAGUAGUGUAUCGGAACAUGCCCAGUCGUGGGGGAUAACGUAGUGAAAGUUACGCUAAUACCGCAUACGCUCUAUGGAUGAAAGCGGGGGAUCGCAAGACCUCGCGCGAUUGGCGUGGCCGAUAUCAGAUUAGGUAGUGGGUGGGGUAAAGGCCUACCAAGCCGACGAUCUGUAGCUGGUCUGAGAGGACGACCAGCCACACUGGGACUGAGACACGGCCCAGACUCCUACGGGAGGCAGCAGUGGGGAAUUUUGGACAAUGGGCGCAAGCCUGAUCCAGCCAUUCCGCGUGCAGGAAGAAGGCCUUCGGGUUGUAAACUGCUUUUGUACGGAACGAAACGCGCUGAGCUAAUACCUCGGCGUAAUGACGGUACCGUAAGAAUAAGCACCGGCUAACUACGUGCCAGCCGCCGCUGUAA